rnacentral:lncRNA from 1 species
CUGAAGACACCAUAAUAUCAAGGGACACAUGUAAUAAAGAAUAAAUAACCCAUUUCAAAUUUUCAGGUUAUAUACCAAGACUUGCCUCAUUAUUUUUUUUCUUUUUUAACUUUUCCCAUUAGGUUCACAAAAAAUGUCACUGCGAUUGAAUGUGAGCUUUCACUUUUAACACUCACAAGUGAUGUCAAAAUUCCUGAGAUAUAUGGCUGGUAUUUACUUCAUCCUCCAUCAGGCAUCAACAGAGCAUGGGACUGCAAGACAGAAAUAUUACUCUGAAAAUGUAGCUGGGACCACAGCCAACUAGUCUACCUAUCAGCCAGCUGCUGAGAGGAGCCUGCCAGUCAGCUGAAGGGUCAGUGCCUGCCUUUGACUUUGACUCAGCUGCUGAGGCUACAUGACUCAUCCGAGAGUAAGAUACUCAGGAGACCCAAUGGAGCCUCCUCCUUGAGCUUCAGCUGUAAAUAUCAGGUCAGUGGCAGUAUCCAUGGCACUCUCUUUUAUAAUUGUCCAGCUCUGUCUAGGAAAGGAAUAAUUAUCCCAGGGACAAAAACGCUCAUGUAACAAAGCUCACGUCCACCUGAGACCUACACAACCACCUUAAGCAACCCCUUGAGCUCUCUGAAGGGACCCUCAUCUGGGUUCUGAACAUGCUGUAAUUGUUAAAAGGAAGACUAAGAAUGGAGGCCAAAAUAUCGUUUGUUUUUGAAGAAGCUUAAUUAGAGGACAUGAUUUGUUCUCAAGUCCAAGUGUUCUGCCAACUCCCCACAUCUAUCUAGGGCAGUGGUUCUUAAGGGCAGGAGGUGAUCUUGGACAUGGGGGACAUUUGGUCACAUCUGGAGACAGUUUUUAUCAUCAUGCUAUGGGCAUCUAGUGGGUACAGGCCAGAGAUGCUGCUAAACAUCUUACAAUGCACAGGAGAGCUUCCCUCACCCCAUGUCCAACGAAGAAUCAUCUGACCCAAAUGUUGAUAGUGCCAAGCCUGAAAAACCAUGGUGUACACUUGUGGGCAGCACAUCUGUUGUAAUGUAAAUCUGCAAAUUACACUCAUUUACACAUGUCUCUACCUCCCACUGGUCCUGGAGAAGAAAGAAGGACAAUGAGAACCCAUAUCCCAUGUUCAGAACCUUGGAUAGAUUAACUCCAUAUAAUUGAGAGGUCUGGAUCAAUGGUUGUUUCUCUCCACCCAAGUAAUUCAAGUCACUUUAGUAAGAAUUAAUGGUGGGGCAGGAAGUGAGGAGGAUUCUUAGAGAAAAUCACCUCAAAGAUACCAGAAGUGAGGAAAAGGCCUUCCUAACAUUACCCAUUCUCAGACUCCAGCCACCCAUAUACAGAUGAACCUCAAACUCUAGCAAGUGGUUAGUGUAACAGUCAGCAGCACAUCCUGACCCAUCUUAGAUUGAUCCCAACAUGGUCUCCCUUUGUUGUCCAGCCUCAGACCCUCAGCUUCCUGACUUGAUUUGGACAGCUGCCCUUGGCUCUACUGACUUACCCUAAAUUUUACCUUGGACCUCAGCUGGAAAAUUUACCCCUUUCUCCUUCUGAGGUAUAUAUUAAUAUUAAUAAUUACUUUUCUGACUCCUGCCUCCAUAGCGGAACCCAUAAGCAGGCUCCUGUCUAGGAACAGCCUGGUAAAGGGGUAGGAAAGCCAAACAUAGAAGGCUCCUGAGUUGUACUUUUCUGUAUGUCUCAGUCAGUCUUCUCAAACAUCUUUCAAGGUCAGAACUACAAUGACCAUUUUAUAUAAGAGGCAGUUGAGGUUCAGAAAGAAGUAGUGGGUUCCUGAGAUACUAGGAUUGCAAUAAGCAUUGAUAAAUUGGAUAAAUUGAUAAAUCUGAUAAAUAAACAAUUGGAUAAAUUGUUAACUGAAUGAGUCAGCUAAUAUGUGGCAGAAGCAGAAUGAGAAGCAAGAUCUGCCUCAUGCCAAGCUCUGAUUUUCCUGCUUUAUGCUGCCUCCUGCCUCCUCACCCCUUCUCUGUCUCCUGUACCAGGACUUACGGUCCUGUCCCAGGAAUAUGACUUUAUAACUCAAAUAUUUUUAGCUGUGGUACCCCCAAGCUUUAGCUCUAUGCCCAGGACUCUGAAGUUUUUCAUAUCCAAUGCAAUGAAUUUCAGAAAUUGCAAAAUGGCAAAGAUCUUUUGGGAUAUGACAUGCCUAUAAUUCCUCACACCAUAUAUAUCUGGAUCUCCAUAGAGACCAUCUCAUUUUCAUAAAAUUCUUUAAAAUUCAUUCAUUCAACAAAUAUUCAUGGAGAAGCAUCAUAGUGUGUUUGGGAAGAUUUAGGAUAGUAGUUGAGUGUAAAAGCUCUGGGGUCAAAUCACAUGGAAUCAAAUCUCACUUUACCCACGUAUUAAUUAUAUGACUUGGAGCAAUAUUAUUGACCUUUCUUGGGGACUUAUCCAUAAAUGGAAAUAAUAAUGGCAUCUUCCUCACAAUUUUUCUGUGAAAAUUUACUGAAUAAAUCAUUAUAUUCUCUGCCAGACUGGGACUACUUACCCACAUGCUGGUCAUUAAUAUUGUCCCAUAUGGAAUGUGUGCUCAAUUUAUUUAAUAACGUUCUCUCUCUCUUUUUUUUUUUUGAGACAGGGUCUUGCUGUGUCACCCAGGCUGGAGGGCAGUGGCACAAUCACAGCUCACUGCAGCCUUGAUUUCCUGGGCUCACGACAUCCUCCCACCUCAGCCUCACAAGUAGCUGGGACUACAGGUGUGCACUGCCAGACCUGGCUUUUUUUUUUUUUUUUUUUUUACUUUUUUAUAGAGUUGAGGUCUCAUCACUAUCUUGUCCCAGCUGAUCUAGAGCUGAGUUCAAGUGAAACUCCUGCCUUGGCCUUCCAAAGUGCUAGGGUUAUAGGUAUGAGUUACUGCGCCCAGCCAAUAACAUUCUUAAAAUUAACAACAACAAAAAAGCACCUAUAGCACUUACUGGGUCUUCACUCUAUUUUCAGACUUUCUUAACUCUUUGUUAGCUAAUGUAAUUAGCACGUCACCCCUAUGAGUUGCAUACCAUUAGUAUACCUGUUGUACAAAGGAGUGUGAGGAAGAGGCUCAAAGAAUAUAAUUUUCCCAAGAUGGCAUGGCUAGUAAGUAGGGCAGCAAGGGUGUGAUUUCAGACUGUCUGGCUGAGAGUCUGUCUCUGCUAAUCACUACCCUAUACCGUGUGAGGGAUGGGCAUGAGAAAUGAAAGACAAGGCAUGACUGAGCCACAUACAAAUCACUAAACAGGGUCAAAGAGUACCUUGAGUGAGAAAAGAAGCUUCCCAAAAGAUGCCGAGUUUGUUUGCAGCUUACAAAUGAGCUUUACAAAUGGGAAAGUGCUUUGGUUGGAGCCCUCUUCACAAAAGUAGAAGAACAUCAGAGGAACAGAGGCAGCUUCUCACUAGCUGGAGCGUGGAUUGUGAAGACCAGCAAAAAGAAGAGGGGCCAGUAUGGUAUGCAUGAGCUGGGUCACAAGAGAUCUUAGACACUGCAAGCAUCUGACUUUUUCCAGAAUUCCCUAGCAGAAGGACAAAAGGACAUUUGGGUCUUAGAGAGGUUUGUCCCAGCCCUAGUGGGGCAAGGAAGUUAUGGGGUAAGAUUGAAAAAGUAGACCCCAACAAAAGAAGUUCCUGUGAUAAAUCCUAAACCAAGGCAGAAGCAAAGAAAAUGGACAACAGUGGACAGGUAAGAGAGACAUUUGGGGGGUGCAAACCCCUCAAGUUUGAGUACGGAAAAGUUAAAAAAUAAAAUCUCUGUAUAGGUAAAAGGUGAGUUUCCUAGCAAAGCUAGAGCCUCAUAAUAAAAGAGCUUCAGGACAAGUACCUAACCACCAAUGGGGCCUGGCCACCAGGGUCAGAACAAGGAGAAAUGAUGGCCAUGGCCAGCAUGAGCCAUUCUGCAUGCCUCCCACAAGCACUGACCCUACCUACACAGUUCUCAGGCUGGAGCUGUGGGCCCCAAGGCUAAUAGCCCCAAGGCUUUACAUUGACCUAUGUAGCUGGGAAGGUGUGGGCUGAAUUGAAUUAACUGAGCAAUUUCUGAUUCUUAUUUUAGUGAAUAAAAAAUCAUAUAAUAAAAUUAAGCAUCAUUCAAAAUGAUUAAUGCUAGCAACUUCCCAUGAAGUCAUUUAACCUACUUGAUUUAGGGAAUCUGGAAAACUUUCACAAGACUAAUAUCAACAUAUGAGCAGUUUUCAUUAUCAUUAAUAAGAGUCUGUUAGGCAAGUAGUGCUCAAAAUGCUUUAUGCUUCAAAUAUUGAAAUAGACAGUAUCCUCAGAGAUGGCUUCCCAAGCCUCCACUCAUACAGGCUGCAUCAAGGUCACAUUCAGGACUGUAAGAAGACAUCCUCCCUAUUACUACAGAUAACAAAGGUUUUGCCGGUCACAGUAUUGAGUAUGGGGAACCUGCAGAGAUCAGAUUCAGCCAAACCAUUUCCUAAGGGGAAAGUCACAGAAAUUUGUUGACCAUAGGAGUAGUUGAGAAUUGAUAUCCCAGAUCAAUUUGGCUAAACCAAAUCUACUAUUUUUAAUAAUAAUUUGCUAAAUAUGAUAGGACACAGAACACACUGUCUUAAAAUAUGGCACCUUGGCAGGAGGUCGAGGCCAGCCUGGCCAACGUGGUAAAACUCCGUCUCUACUAAUAAUGCAAAAAUUAGCCGGGCGUGGUGGUGCACUCUUGUAGUCCCAUCUAUUAAGGAGGUUGAGACGGGAGAAUUGCCUGAACCCAGAAGGCAGAGGUUGCAGUGAGCUGAAAUCACGCCACUGCACUGCAGCCUGAGCUACAGAGAGAGACUCUGUCUCAAAAAAAAAAAAAAAAAAAAAAAAAGGCAUCUUGCAUACUGAGUAUUUUAAACUAAAGAAAAUUAAAAACACCCCAAAAGCAGGAAUGUCUCUCUGACCUUUUCUUACCUUUCUCCCCUAAAGUAUGCCAUAAAUUAAUUAUCUGGCCUUACCCUGAAAAUAGGCCAUAAGACCCCCAUUUCAGAAGGGUCCUCCCCAUACCUGGGGGAAAAGAGCAUCUGAAGACACAGCAACACCAAGAAGAAUCUGGACAAACAAGCAUUGCUGAGUGUCCCCUUGUUUAUUACCAUGAGAUUACAGCCUUUCGUCCUCCAAUUAACACUUCUACACAUCUGUUCACUCUUCAUCAAACCUAUUCGUAAAAAUAUACAGAUUUCCCUGUUUCUUUGAGUCUUCAUUUCUGAAGGCCUUUGUGUCACAUCAAAUUUGUAUUAAAUAAAUUUGUAUGCUUUUCUUUCAUUAUUCUGUCUUUCGUUAUAGGAGUCUCAGCCAUAAACCUAGCAACGGGCGAGAUAUUACUUUUCUCCUCUACGAAUGAGACAUUCCUUUGAAACACCAUACAUCAAACUUAUAAAAUGUUUUAUAUGUGGAUUUUAACAGCUAUUGGGAAUUCGCGGUCUCACUAUGUUUCUUGGAACUCCUAAGCUCAAGUGAUGUUCCCACCUCUCCCUCCCAAAGUGCUUGAAUUACAGGUGUAAGCUACAGUGCCUAGUCCCUUUUUCAUAUUUCUUUAGGUAUAUUUUUUCUGUCUAGCCUAUUUUAAGCAUUUCAAACAAAAAGCCGAUGUCAAUAUAGUAUUCAAAAAUGUAGAUGUUUAGAGGAAGUCAAGUAAAUGUACAGGGAGUGGCAAUGUCUUCCUUAUGAGUAGAGCAUCCACCUCAGAGCAAUCUUUGUCUUGCCUUUAUGUUGAGUUCUAGGAGAAUAAAUAAGCAGGAAGCAAAAAGGAGAGAAGUGGGCUGGAUCGCUGUGGUUCCUUCCUAGAGGAGGCAACAAAUAGGCAUUUGCUCAGAUCCUUAUAUUACACAAAAAGAUGAAUUCCUGAAGCCUGUGAAAUUAAAUAUUUUCAAAAAUAAAGCAAUGGAUCUCUAAAAUAAGUAUACGUUUAUUUUUACUCAACUUCUGCAGAGAGGACCUUUGAAGCUAAAAUUCAAUAGAAGAUACCAUAAAUUUAAAAAUUUAAAAAAAACACUUAAAACUAAAUAUCAUAUCUAAAAUAAAAAUGCAAAUUAAAAAGAUAAUGAUUUGGAAAUAUUAGUUUAUUAAUAUCUCUAUCAUAUACAAAUCUCAAGGUCGAUAUUUACAAGAUGACUAGUAACAUCGGUACUGAGCAUAACAUCAAGUGAAGACAGGGGCUCAAACAUUUUCCUGAAGGUAUUAACUACAUAAUUGCAUUCUUGGCAAAUGAGUCAUUAGACAAAUUGCUACAAAUAAACAAAAGCUAGAUACUUAUGUUUUAGGCAGUCUAGACAACCUGAUAACUUAAUGAACAUAAUUGCUGAAAACUAUUAAAAGUUCUUGGUUGAUUAUAGCAAAAAUUCUUUUUAAAUUGAUCAAUGAUAAUGAUUGACAAAAACAAAACGAAACAAAUACAAAACCUCAGGAUUGACAGAAGAAGUGGCAAAUCCUGUCUGGAGCAAAGAAAAUUCAAAACAGAUGUCAAAGAAUUCCCAUAGAUCGAGUUUCAAGCAAUGAGAUCUCUUGGUUAAAGAGCAAAACAAAACAUAUAUGGUGACAACGAGGUACCAUGCAUUAAGGGCAGGAAAAUCAACAUGGCCAAAUGUCCAAUAUUGGAAUUAUUCUUUAGGAGUAUAAGCUUGAAGAAACAAAUUUAAACUAUGUUUAUUUAAAAAAAAACACAUAGAAAAUAACCAACUAGACUUUUCAAAUCAUCAAACUAAGUUCUGGAAAUGGAACACAGUGAGUAAUUAAAAUUAGAAAAUGCAAUAUCUAAGUUGAACAGCUAAUUUAAAAAGCUGAAUAAAGAAUUAAAUAAUCAAAUGAUAGGAUCAAAUGAAAACUAUAAAAAAAUGAAGAACAGUAACAAAGACAGAAAAUUGGGGAGAAAUUUUAAUAAACAUGCAAGAUAAAAAGAUCUAACAUAAGAUCCAUUGGAGUUUCAGAGGAAAUGAGAUAAACUGAAAAUAAUCUAUUAGGAAGAACAGCUACAGUAGUCAAGAGAGUGUGAUAUUGGCAUGAAGAUAGGCAAAAUAAAGUUCAUAAAUAGACCCACACAAAUAUGGACAACUGAUUUUGGACAAAGAGCCAAAAGCAUCUUUAAGUGGAUUUUCAGAAAUUGCUGAUAAAACAGUCAGAUAACCACAUGCAAAAGUAACAACAAAAACUAAAAAAAAAAAAAAAAAAAAAAAAUGAAAAACUGUAGUUCAUACCUCCCAUCAUAUACAAUAAUCAAAUAGGCUGUAGGCCUACAUUUAAAACAUAAAACUAUAAAGCUUCUAGAAAGAAAACAUCAAAACAAAUGUUUAUGAUCUUGAGUUAGGCAAAAGUAUUUUAGUCACAACACUGUCAUGAGUUGAAUUGUGUCCCCACAAAAAAAAAAAAAAGUUGAUGUCCUAACCCCUAGUACUUCAGAAUGUGAUAUUACUUGAAAAUAAGGUCUUCACAUAGGUAAUCAAGUUAAAAUAAGUUCAUUAAAGGGAACUUAAUACAAUAUGAUUAGUGUCUUUGUACAAAGGGAAGAUGUGGAUAUGACAGAAAUGCACAGACAGAAGACAAUGAAGAGAGACAUAGGGAGAAUGCCAUGUGACAGCCAGGGAUGAGAGUGAUGCAUCCAAUAGUCAAGGGAUGCCAAAGAUGGCCAGCAAACUACCAGAAGCUAGGAGAGAGGCACAGAACAGAUUCUCUCUCACAGCCCUCCAAAGGAGCCGACCCUGUUGACACCUUGAUUUCAGACUUCUAACCUCCAUAACUGUGGAACAAUACAUUUUGGUUAUUUUAAGCCACUCACCUAGUUUGCGGAACUUUGUUACAGCAGUCCUAGGAAACUAAUAUUUAAUACAAAUACCAUAAACAUGAUCUAUACAUUAAAAAAUAACAAAAAAGAAAUACUGGACGUCAUCAAAAUUAAGAACCUGUGCUCAUCUGGGCGCAGUAGCUCAUGCCUGUAAUCCCUGCACUUUGGGAGGCCAGGUGGGCAGAUCACCAGGUCAAGAGAUCAAGACCAUCCUGGCCAACAUGAUGAAACUCUGUCUGUACUAUAAAUACAAAAAUAAGCUGGGCGUUAUGGUGGGUGCCUGUAAUCCCAGCUACUCGGGAGGCUGAGGCAGGAGAAUCACUUGAACUCGGGAGGUGGAGGUUGCAGUGAGCCAAGAAAUGAGAACAUAUAAAUAUACAAGAACUUGUAUCUGAAUGCUCAUGCAACUUUAUUUGAAAUAGCCCAAAACUGAAAACAAUCUAAAUGUGAAAAACUGCUCAGUGCAAAACCAAAUUGUUAUAUAUAACUAUACAGUGGCAUACUACUCAGCAAUAAAAAGGAAUGGACUGUUUUCAUAUACAACAACAGUCUUAAAUAAUUAAGCAGAGUGAAGGUAGAAACCUGGCAAAAUUUAUAUACUGCAUGCCUUCAUUUUUAAAUAGUCAUCCACAAUGCACACGAAUCUGUAAUUCAUCAGUGGUUGCCUGGGGAUGGGGAGGCAGGGUGAGAGGGCCAUCAAGACUAGAUUACCAAGGAGCAGGAGAACAUUUGGGAGGGUGGAGUAAUGGUUAUGUUUCUUAUCUUGAUAGUGGUGGUAGCUUCAAGAAUGUACGUAUCUGUGAAACUCAUCAAAUUAUACACAAUUUAUUUUGUCAAUUGUACAAAAUAUAAUGAAUCAUUAUUAAAUUGGAUUGAACCCCCAAUAGAGCAAAUGUUAAAAAUUUGUGGAAUAGCAAGUAUAUUUACAUACUUGUGGAAUGUUAUUUAGAAAAUAAUUUUAACUCAACUAACAGAGCUGGAAAUGAGAUUGUUUUCUGACCUAUGCAUUUGGAAUAACGGUAGAUUGUUUCUGACCUAUGCAUUUGGAAUAACG